GACGAACGCUGGCGGCGUGCCUAAUACAUGCAAGUUGAGCGAUGAAGAUUGGUGCUUGCCCCAAUUUGAAGAGCAGCGAACGGGUGAGUAACGCGUGGGGAAUCUGCCUUUGAGCGGGGGACAACAUUUGGAAACGAAUGCUAAUACCGCAUAACAACUUUAAACAUAAGUUUUAAGUUUGAAAGAUGCAAUUGCAUCACUCAAAGAUGAUCCCGCGUUGUAUUAGCUAGUUGGUGAGGUAAAGGCUCACCAAGGCGAUGAUACAUAGCCGACCUGAGAGGGUGAUCGGCCACAUUGGGACUGAGACACGGCCCAAACUCCUACGGGAGGCAGCAGUAGGGAAUCUUCGGCAAUGGACGAAAGUCUGACCGAGCAACGCCGCGUGAGUGAAGAAGGUUUUCGGAUCGUAAAACUCUGUUGGUAGAGAAGAACGUUGGUGAGAGUGGAAAGCGCAUCAAGUGACGGUAACUACCCAGAAAGGGACGGCUAACUACGU
rnacentral:rRNA from 1 species